UGGCGGCAGGCUUACACAUGCAAUGUCGAACGCCCCGCAAGGGGAGUGGCAGACGGGUGAGUAACGCGUGGGAAUCUACCCAGAUCUUCGGAACAACUGAGGGAAACUUCAGCUAAUACCGGAUACGCCCUACGGGGGAAAGAUUUAUCGGUUCUGGAUGAGCCCGCGUUGGAUUAGCUAGUUGGUGAGGUAACGGCUCACCAAGGCGACGAUCCAUAGCUGGUCUGAGAGGAUGAUCAGCCACACUGGGACUGAGACACGGCCCAGACUCCUACGGGAGGCAGCAGUGGGGAAUAUUGGACAAUGGGCGAAAGCCUGAUCCAGCCAUGCCGCGUGAGUGAUGAAGGCCUUAGGGUUGUAAAGCUCUUUCAGUGGGGAAGAUAAUGACGGUACCCACAGAAGAAGCCCCGGCUAACUUCGUGCCAGCAGCCGCGGUAAUACGAAGGGGGCUAGCGUUGUUCGGAUUUACUGGGCGUAAAGCGCACGUAGGCGGAUCGUUAAGUCGGGGGUGAAAUCCUGGAGCUCAACUCCAGAACUGCCUUCGAUACUGGCGAUCUUGAGUCCGGAAGAGGUGAGUGGAACUCCUAGUGUAGAGGUGGAA
rnacentral:rRNA from 1 species